rnacentral:rRNA from 1 species
UACGUAGGGUGCAAGCAUUAAUCGGAUUUAUUGGGCGUAAAGGGCGCGUAGGCGGGAUAGUAAGUCAGAUGUGAAAUCCCGGAGCUUAACUCCGGAACGGCAUUUGAUACUGCCUUCCUAGAGGGUAGACGGAGAAAACGGAAUUCCACAAGUAGCGGUGAAAUGCGUAGAUAUGUGGAAGAACACCUGUGGCGAAAGCGGUUUUCUAGUUUAUUCCUGACGCUGAUGCGCGAAAGCUAGGGGAGCAAACAGG